AAUGAUAUAUAAAACAAAUAUGUUUUUAUACACACAAUAUGAGUGUAAAGAACUAAAACGACAACAUCGGAAAUGAACGGUUGCCGUCUGACGUUAAAACGUUUAUAUUUAGCUGGUAGGACAGCUGAGGAAGAGGGUCACUUACAAUCAGUUAUGAUUGAUGUUUGAUCAUUUAAAAGGGUUUGUUAUCAUAGUAAAACCGGCUAAUGUUUGCAUGCGCUUUCGCUAAUUGAGAUGAGUUUUUGUUUACCAAACGUCUAACUCAAUUAUUUUGUUGAGUUUCUUAAAGGUGACCUAGUUAUAGUCCUUGUCCGAGUAAACAUCGGUGAUUUGUUUGCACCGAGUACGUGUGUUAUUAAUCAGCAGGCUUUAUGAAACGGCUGUUUGUUUUUAAAACCUGAAAGCCUGAAAUUAUUUCAAUAGAACUACUUACAAUCAAUUUAUUUAUCGUCAAACUAUUUUUCUACUUUGUCAUUACAUUUGUUCAUACUCAGCCGUAAAACAAACAAAAAAUAACUGUUCAUAAUAUCUUGUCGCACUCUGUUCAGUUAGUUCUGCUCUUAAAUCUUCCACAAAGGACCUUCUAAUGGAAAUAUCAACCGUUUAGCAGGCACAGGCUGAAUACAAAUCGUCCUUCUUGGACCUGGGAUAUUUAUAUGCUGGGCCUACCGAGGAUCUCUCCCCUACGCUUUUAUUCAACCGGCAGUAAUUUAAUAAUGGAUUCGCAAAUUGCGCCAUGGUACGAUUCAUUUCGUUCCCUUCGAAUUGUUCACCUCACACACUUCGAUGUUUCAGUAAGUACAAUUUAUUCCACUACGCACUAGUAACUGUGAAACGUGUGAUCACUUAUCAUAGUACAAGUCAAAGUGUGGCCUACCAACGAGGCUUAAAGCACUUUUGAAACCCAACAGAAAUUAUGGAAAAAAUUGGUUGGAUACUACUGCUUGCAUACUAACUAUUGAUUGGACCCACCAAACUAGAAUGAUCGCAACCGAAAAACCAAUCCAGUCAUUAGAACAUAGAAGUUGGUAAUGGUUUGACUGCUAGUGGAAAAACUCAGUUUGAACAAAUCGACAUCGUUUACUUUACUGAUCUGUAAGGUGAUCAGUGUCCAUCAGUUCAGCAUUAUAACUAUAGCUAUUUACUAAAGCUAUUUAAUUUCCUCUCAUCAUCUCAAAUCAGUUUAACGAUCAACUUAUAACUUAAAAACACACGACACAUUAAUUUUUGAAGAGUGUUUAUUGUAUCCCAAGAGCAGCGCGAAUUGCAACCCCCUCUCAAUUAUCUACCACGCGCUACUGGGGCGUGUGUUUCGGAUCAGACUGUGAUAAAUAGAUUACGGGAGGUGCAGUUGAUUCCACAAAUUCGUAAAAAUGGUCCACCUUUAAAGACGUCACAAAAUUCCCAGGAAUUUAUUCUCAAGGGAACACGUACUUUGAGACAGUCUCCUUCUAAUCCUCGUCGGACUCAAAAAACCGCUGUGAUAUCUCUGGCAAAUAGAAGCGGGAGAUUAAAUAAUGGAUAAGGAAGAGAAUGGUUUAGUUUGUACAGGAGACCCAUGUGCCACAAAAGGACAAACACUUGUGUCACAUGAAGAAAGCCCUCCAUACAAUAUUCUUUGCACUCAAGAGAGAAGGUAUACAGCGAAACACUAAUUGAACUGUAUGAUGUCGAGAGGGAAGCCCAAACUGGUGAGCACACGAAAUAAGGAUAAAACAAAUUUCAUAAAUUAUUAACAAAGCUCAAUAAUUGACUCUAACUCAACAUACUUUAUUGUCGAUAGCGCAUUGCCUAUAGAAUACUUGGCUUGCAUCUAAAAUAUUUGCAUGAUCAAAUAGGAAUUAUAAUAAAGUAGACAUUUUCCAUUCCAUAAAGUUGUGCACAAGGAUGCGUCGGACUAUUCUUACAAUUUAUUAAAUACUUAAUAACUUGCAAAUGAAAAAUCAUGUAUUUCUUAUUUCAACUUUUACCUUCAUAAGCCAUCUCGAUUAUCUGACUUCUCGGACAAAUACGGUGACAUUUCAAUUGGCUGGUGCCAUACAGGAAAAAAAAAUAAUCAAAAAUCAGCUCGAGUAAGAACACAGAAAUACAAGAUUUACUUUUUCACGACCGUGGUGAAAAAUAAAUCUUGGAAGCGGAUAUAAACCAACAAUCGUCACCGGGUUUUAUUUGUUUUUUUAUUUCUGAAAAACUCUCGAGUACCGGCAAAAGAGAUAAACCAAAUUAGCGCUCGUCAGUAUGGAGGAUUUUCAAUUUGUGGGGACAGAAUUCAUGGACAGCCAAAUAGCAAAGGCCUUUUGUAUAAUUUUGUCUCCUCUUAGUUUUCCCAAGAUAAUCUAUUUUUGUAGACACUAUUAAAGGUAAUUAUACGU
rnacentral:lncRNA from 1 species